rnacentral:rRNA from 1 species
GGGCGGGGGCACGGGGGGACUCCUACGGGAGGCAGCAGUCGGGAAUUUUGGGCAAUGGGCGAAAGCCUGACCCAGCAACGCCACGUGAAGGAUGAAGUCUUUCGGGAUGUAAACUUCGUAAAAAUAGGAAGAAUAAAUGACGGUACUAUUUGUAAGGUCCGGCUAACUACGUGCCAGCAGCCGCGGUAAUACGUAGGGACCAAGCGUUGUUCGGAUUUACUGGGCGUAAAGGGCGCGUAGGCGGCGUAGCAAGUCACUUGUGAAAUCUCCGAGCUUAACUCGGAACGGUCAAGUGAUACUGUUAUGCUAGAGUACAGAAAGGGUAAUCGGAAUUCUUGGUGUAGCGGUGAAAUGCGUAGAUAUCAAGAGGAACACCAGAGGCGAAGGCGGAUUACUAGGCUGAUACUGACGCUGAGGCGCGAAAGCUAGGGUAGCAAACGGGAUUAGAUACCCCGGUAGUCCUAGCCCUAAACGAUGAAUACUUGGUGUCUGGAGUUUUAAUUCUCUGGGUGCCGUCGCUAACGUUUUUAGUAUUCCGCCUGGGGAGUACGCACGCAAGUGUGAAACUCAAAGGAAUUGACGG